UACGUAGGGUGCAAGCGUUAAUCGGAAUUACUGGGCGUAAAGCGUGCGCAGGCGGUUAUGUAAGACAGGUGUGAAAUCCCCGGGCUUAACCUGGGAACUGCAUUUGUGACUGCAUAGCUAGAGUACGGUAGAGGGGGAUGGAAUUCCGCGUGUAGCAGUGAAAUGCGUAGAUAUGCGGAGGAACACCGAUGGCGAAGGCAAUCCCCUGGGCUAACACUGACGCUCAGGCACGAAAGCGUGGGGAGCAAACAGG
rnacentral:rRNA from 1 species